rnacentral:rRNA from 1 species
UACGGAGGGGGCUAGCGUUGUUCGGAAUUACUGGGCGUAAAGCGCACGUAGGCGGCUUGGUAAGUUAGAGGUGAAAGCCUGGAGCUCAACUCCAGAAUUGCCUUUAAGACUGCCGAGCUAGCAGGUGAGAGAGGUGAGUGGAAUUCCGAGUGUAGAGGUGAAAUUCGUAGAUAUUCGGAAGAACACCAGUGGCGAAGGCGGCUCACUGGCUCAUACUGGACGCUGAGGUGCGAAAGCGUGGAGAGCAAACAGG